UAUAGCAACAAUCUAUCGAAAAUUUAUUGCAACACUACGUUAAUCAUUUUUUCAUGAAAGUAAUAUUUGCAACGGUGUGUCUACUCACAUGGCUCAAUUUGAUAUUUGUAAGAGCCCAGAGGACCGACAUUUCAGCAGGAAAGUUUAAUUACCCCAACAACGUAUUAACUGUUUCUAACCAAAGCCAAAGGAACGAAGAAACUAAUGAGCGCACUGUCAGACAAUUGAGUGGUGUCACAGGAACAAGAUUACCAAGUUCUCGUGGUGGAAAUCGUAGAUUACGUCGUCGUGGAUUCUCACCUGUAUUCGUAGUCACUGGUUAAAACGCUUAAAGUUGAAUAAAU